rnacentral:rRNA from 1 species
ACGGGUGCGUAACGCGUGGGAAUCUGCCCUUGGGUUCGGAAUAACAGUGAGAAAUUACUGCUAAUACCGGAUGAUGUCGAAAGACCAAAGAUUUAUCGCCCGAGGAUGAGCCCGCGUAGGAUUAGCUAGUUGGUGAGGUAAGAGCUCACCAAGGCGACGAUCCUUAGCUGGUCUGAGAGGAUGAUCAGCCACACUGGGACUGAGACACGGCCCAGAAUCCUACGGGAGGCAGCAGUGGGGAAUAUUGGACAAUGGGCGAAAGCCUGAUCCAGCAAUGCCGCGUGAGUGAUGAAGGCCUUAGGGUUGUAAAGCUCUUUUACCCGGGAUGAUAAUGACAGUACCGGGAGAAUAAGCCCCGGCUAACUCCGUGCCAGCAGCCGCGGUAAUACGGAGGGGGCUAGCGUUAUUCGGAAUUACUGGGCGUAAAGCGCACGUAGGCGGCUUUGUAAGUCAGAGGUGAAAGCCUGGAGCUCAACUCCAGAACUGCCUUUGAGACUGCAUCGCUUGAAUCCAGGAGAGGUGAGUGGAAUUCCGAGUGUAGAGGUGAAAUUCGUAGA